CCUACGGGGGGCUGCAGUGGGGAAUAUUGGACAAUGGGGGCAACCCUGAUCCAGCCAUGCCGCGUGUGUGAAGAAGGCCCUCGGGUUGUAAAGCACUUUCAGUGAGGAAGAACGCCUGGUGGUUAAUACCCAUCAGGAAAGACAUCACUCACAGAAGAAGCACCGGCUAACUCCGUGCCAGCAGCCGCGGUAAUACGGAGGGUGCGAGCGUUAAUCGGAAUUACUGGGCGUAAAGCGCGCGUAGGUGGCUUGAUAAGCCGGUUGUGAAAGCCCCGGGCUCAACCUGGGAACGGCAUCCGGAACUGUCAAGCUAGAGUGCAGGAGAGGAAGGUAGAAUUCCCGGUGUAGCGGUGAAAUGCGUAGAGAUCGGGAGGAAUACCAGUGGCGAAGGCGGCCUUCGGGACUGACACUGACACUGAGGUGCGAAAGCGUGGGUAGCAAACAGGAUUAGAUACCCUUUAGUC
rnacentral:rRNA from 1 species